UGAGGAAUAUUGCACAAUGGGCGCAAGCCUGAUGCAGCGACGCCGCGUGUGGGAUGAAGGGGCUACGCCUCGUAAACCACUGUAGCCCGGGACGAAAAACGCCUUAGAGGCGUUAGACGGUACCGGGAAAGUAAGGGUCGGCUAACUACGUGCCAGCAGCCGCGGUAAUACGUAGGACCCAAGCGUUGUCCGGAUUCACUGGGUGUAAAGGGUGCGCAGGCGGAUGGGUAAGUCAGGGGUGAAAGUCUGCAGCUUAACCGUAGAAUUGCCUUUGAAACUGCUCAUCCUGAGUGUGGGAGAGGUUGAUUGAAUUCCAGGUGUAGCAGUGAAAUGCGUAGAUAUCUGGAAGAACACCAGUGGCGAAGGCGGUCAACUGGCCCAUAACUGACGCUCAUGCACGAAAGCGU
rnacentral:rRNA from 1 species